rnacentral:rRNA from 2 species
CUCAUUAAAUCAGUUAUGAUCUACGUGACAAAUUCUUUACUACUUGGAUAACCGUGGUAAUUCUAGAGCUAAUACAUGCAAAAAAGCCCUGACUUACGAAGGGGUGCACUUAUUAGAUAAAACCAACGCGGGGUAAAACCUGUUUCUUGGUGAAUCAUAAUAAUUAAGCGGAUCGCAUGGCCUUGUGCCGGCGACGGUCCACUCGAUUUUCUGCCCUAUCAUGGUUGAGAUUGUAAGAUAGAGGCUUACAAUGCCUACAACGGGUAACGGGGAAUUAGGGUUCGAUUCCGGAGAGGGAGCCUGAGAAACGGCUACCACAUCCAAGGAAGGCAGCAGGCGCGCAAAUUACCCAAUCCCGACACGGGGAGGUAGUGACAAUACAUAACAAUGCAGGGCCUUUAAGGUCUUGCAAUUGGAAUGAGUACAAUUUAAAUCCCUUAACGAGGAUCAAUUGGAGGGCAAGUCUGGUGCCAGCAGCCGCGGUAAUUCCAGCUCCAAUAGCGUAUAUUAAAGUUGUUGCAGUUAAAACGUCCGUAGUCAAACUUUAGUCUUACCGGCGUAGUGGCCUGGUCUUCAUUGACCAAGCUCAUUGCUGCCGGAGACUCCACGUCCAUUGACUCCUAGUCCUCGUGGCUAGGGUUUUCUGGACAAUUACCAUGAGCAAAUCAGAGUGUUUAAAGCAGGCUUUUAAGCUUGAAUGUGUUAGCAUGGAAUAAUGAAAUAUGACUUUAGUCCUAUUUUCGUUGGGUUU